AACGAACGCUGGCGGCAUGCCUAACACAUGCAAGUCGAGCGAGAUCUUCGGGGCUAGCGGCGGGCGGGGUGGUAACGGGUGGGAAUAUGCCCUUCUCUGCGGAAUGGCGUCGGGAAACUGAGCGUAAUAGCGGAUACGCUCUUUGGUGGAAAGAUUUAUGGGAGAAGGAUUAGCCCGCGUUGGAUCCGGUAGGUGGUGGGGUAAGGGCCUACCAAGCGGUCGAUACAUAGCGGGUUUGAGAGGAUGAUCAGCCACACUGGGACUGAGAAACGGCCCAGACUCUUACGGGAGGCAGCCGUGCGGAAUCUUAGAAAACGGGGGCAACCAUGAUCUAGCCAUGCCGGGUGAGUGCUGAAGGCCUUAGAGUUGUCACGCUCUUUAAGCUGCGAAGCUAAUGACGGUACCAGCAGAAGAAGCCCCGGCUAACUCCGUG
rnacentral:rRNA from 1 species